CCCGCUGAACUUAAGCAUAUCAAUAAGCGGAGGAAAAGAAACUAACAAGGAUUCCCCUAGUAACUGCGAGUGAAGCGGCAACAGCUCAAAUUUGAAAUCUGGCCCCUUGGGGUCCGAGUUGUAAUUUGUAGAGGAUGCUUUUGAUGAGGCGCCGCCUGAGUUCCCUGGAACGGGACGCCAUAGAGGGUGAGAGCCCCGUCUGGCUGGCCGCCGAGUCUCUGUAAAGCUCCUUCGACGAGUCGAGUAGUUUGGGAAUGCUGCUCAAAAUGGGAGGUAUAUGUCUUCUAAAGCUAAAUACCGGCCAGAGACCGAUAGCGCACAAGUAGAGUGAUCGAAAGAUGAAAAGCACUUUGAAAAGAGGGUUAAAUAGUACGUGAAAUUGUUGAAAGGGAAGCACUUGUGACCAGACUUGGGCUUGGCGAAUCAUCCGGCGUUCUCGCCGGUGCACUUUGCCUCGUCCAGGCCAGCAUCAGUUCGUCGCGGGGGACAAAGGCUUCGGGAACGUGGCUCCUCCGGGAGUGUUAUAGCCCGCUGCGUAAUACCCUGCGGUGGACUGAGGUUCGCGCAUCUGCAAGGAUGCUGGCGUAAUGGUCAUCAGUGACCCGUCUUGAAACACGG
rnacentral:rRNA from 1 species